AGCGAACGCUGGCGGCAGGCUUAACACAUGCAAGUCGAGCGGGCGUAGCAAUACGUCAGCGGCAGACGGGUGAGUAACGCGUGGGAACGUACCUUUUGGUUCGGAACAACACAGGGAAACUUGUGCUAAUACCGGAUAAGCCCUUACGGGGAAAGAUUUAUCGCCGAAAGAUCGGCCCGCGUCUGAUUAGCUAGUUGGUGAGGUAACGGCUCACCAAGGCGACGAUCAGUAGCUGGUCUGAGAGGAUGAUCAGCCACAUUGGGACUGAGACACGGCCCAAACUCCUACGGGAGGCAGCAGUGGGGAAUAUUGGACAAUGGGCGCAAGCCUGAUCCAGCCAUGCCGCGUGAGUGAUGAAGGCCCUAGGGUUGUAAAGCUCUUUUGUGCGGGAAGAUAAUGACAGUACCGCAAGAAUAAGCCCCGGCUAACUUCGUGCCAGCAGCCGCGGUAA
rnacentral:rRNA from 1 species